GUCGGGAUAGCUCAGCUGGYAGAGCAGAGGACUGAAAAUCCCUC
rnacentral:tRNA from 3 species